UACGGAGGGAGCUAGCGUUGUUCGGAAUUACUGGGCGUAAAGCGCACGUAGGCGGCUUUUUAAGUCAGGGGUGAAAUCCCGGGGCUCAACCCCGGAACUGCCCUUGAAACUGGAAAGCUAGAAUCUUGGAGAGGCGAGUGGAAUUCCGAGUGUAGAGGUGAAAUUCGUAGAUAUUCGGAAGAACACCAGUGGCGAAGGCGACUCGCUGGACAAGUAUUGACGCUGAGGUGCGAAAGCGUGGGGAGCAAACAGG
rnacentral:rRNA from 1 species